rnacentral:rRNA from 1 species
UACAGAGGUCUCAAGCGUUGUUCGGAUUCAUUGGGCGUAAAGGGUGCGUAGGCGGCGCGGUAAGUCGGGUGUGAAAUCUUGGAGCUUAACUCCGAAACUGCAUUCGAUACUGCCGUGCUUGAGGACUGGAGAGGAGACUGGAAUUUACGGUGUAGCGGUGAAAUGCGUAGAUAUCGUAAGGAAGACCAGUGGCGAAGGCGGGUCUCGUGGACAGUUCCUGACGCUGAGGCACGGAAGGUCAGGGGGAGCAAACGGG